AUGAAGCCGGAAUUGCUAGUAAUGGCAGGUCAGCAUACUGCCGUGAAUACGUUCCCGGGCCCUUGUACACACCGCCCGUCACACCAUGAGAGUUGGGAAUACCCGAAGCCUGUGAGCUAACGUAAGAGGCAGCAGUCGAAGGUAGAAUCAAUGAUUGGGGUGAAGUCGUAACAAGGUACC
rnacentral:rRNA from 1 species